UGGGGAAUAUUGCGCAAUGGGGGCAACCCUGACGCAGCAAUACCGCGUGAGUGAAGAAGGUUUUCGGAUCGUAAAGCUCUGUUAUUGGGGAAGAAAAAAGACGGUACCCAAGAAGAAAGUCCCGGCUAACUACGUGCCAGCAGCCGCGGUAAUACGUAGGGGACAAGCGUUGUCCGGAUUUACUGGGCGUAAAGGGCACGCAGGCGGUUUUUUAAGUCAGAUGUGAAAGGUACCGGCUCAACCGGUGACAUGCAUUUGAAACUGAAAGACUUGAGUAUUGGAGAGGCAAGUGGAAUUCCUAGUGUAGCGGUGAAAUGCGUAGAUAUUAGGAGGAACACCGGUGGCGAAGGCGGCUUGCUGGACAAAUACUGACGCUGAGGUGCGAAAGCGUGGGGAGCAAACAGG
rnacentral:rRNA from 1 species